ACUCAAAGGAAUAGACGGGGGCUCACACAAGCGGUGGAGCAUGUGGCUCAAUUCGAAGCAACGCGAAGAACCUUAUCCUGGGCUUGACAUGUAUGGAUUAGCUCCUGGAAACAGGAGUAACGCGGUUUACCGUGGAACAUACACAGGUGCUGCAUGGCUGUCGUCAGCUCGUGCUGUGAAGUGUCGGGUUAAGUCCCUUAACGAGCGAAACCCCUAUCUCUAGUUGCUAACAGGUAAUGCUGAGGACUCUAGCGAGACUGCCGGUGUCAAACCGGAGGAAGGUGGGGAUGACGUCAAGUCCUCAUGGCCCUUAUGCCCAGGGCUGCACACGUGCUACAAUGGCAUCGACAAAGCGACGCAAGACCGCAAGGUGGAGCAAAUCGCAGAAACGAUGCCCCAGUUCAGAUUGGAGUCUGCAACUCGACUCCAUGAAGUUGGAAUCGCUAGUAAUCGGGGAUCAGCUACGCCCCGGUGAAUAUGUUCCUGAGCCUUGUACACACCGCCCGU
rnacentral:rRNA from 1 species